rnacentral:misc_RNA from 1 species
GAUAGAUGAUCCAUCCAACUCAGACGUCUCACCAAAUAAAGAUGAUCCAUCCAACUCAGAUGUCUCACCAAAUAAACCUUUCAAGCUGUUUGACAAUCCUGAUGUCCAACAUGAAUGAGCCUCAGCUGUCGAAGCAUGUUCAUCUUGAGAUAACUAUAUUCCGUAAUUGCCAUCAAUUGCAAAGUUGUACAGGUUUCCAAGGAAGGAGUUGAUUCCAGCAGUGGAUGUUUGCUUUCUCUUUGGUAUUCAGAACUAAUGUAGGCUUUAAGUUUAAGACAUUCAGAGGUCAAGUAAAUCAUCUGUGUUUUCUUGAUAAUGAUGAGAUUAUACUCUAUAUGUUCCUGUCAGUACUGU